rnacentral:rRNA from 1 species
GGGUGCGAUCAUAGCAGCACCAAUGCACCAGAUCCCAAGAGAACUCUGUAGUUAAGCGUGCUUAGCUGAGAGGAGUACUAGGAUAGGUGACCUUCGGAUAAGAGGCAGCCUUUAUAUGAA